AAUCUAACUUCNGGACGGGGACNACAGUUGGAAACGACUGCUAAUACCCGAUGUGCCGAAAGGUGAAACCUAAUUGGCCUGAAGAAGAGCUUGCGUCUGAUUAGCUAGUUGGUGGGGUAAAGGCCUACCAAGGCGACGAUCAGUAGCUGGUCUGAGAGGAUGAGCAGCCACACUGGGACUGAGACACGGCCCANACUCCUACGGGAGGCAGCAGUGGGGAAUUUUCCGCAAUGGGCGAAAGCCUGACGGAGCAACGCCGCGUGAGGGAGGAAGGUCUUUGGAUUGUAAACCUCUUUUCUCAAGGAAGAAGUUCUGACGGUACUUGAGGAAUCAGCCUCGGCUAACUCCGUGCCAGCAGCCGCGGUAAUACGGGGGAGGCAAGCGUUAUCCGGAAUUAUUGGGCGUAAAGCGUCCGCAGGUGGUCAGCCAAGUCUGCCGUCNAAUCAGGUUGCUUAACGACCUAAAGGCGGUGGAAACUGGCAGACUAGAGAGCAGUAGGGGUAGCAGGAAUUCCCAGUGUAGCGGUGAAAUGCGUANAGAUUGGGAAGAACAUCGGUGGCGAAAGCGUGCUACUGGGCUGUAUCUGACACUCAGGGACGAAAGCUAGGGGAGCGAAAGGGAUUANAUACCCCUGUANUCCUAGCCGUANACGAUGGAUACUNNCGUGGCUUGUAUCGACCCGAGCCGUGCCGAAGCUAACGCGUUAAGUAUCCCGCCUGGGGAGUACGCACGCAAGUGUGAAACUCNAAGGAAUUGACGGGGGCCCGCACAAGCGGUGGANUAUGUGGUUUAAUUCNAUGCA
rnacentral:rRNA from 1 species